AUGGCCGGCCUUCAAUAUAGUUUCUUCCCGACCGACUUCUUCUACCCACGAGCUUCUCCUCCGGCUACGACAAGCCUUGUCGCCACCAAUCCAAAACUGGAGAAAACCCAAAAGAGAGAUGGUUUAGUAGUGAUUGAUGAAACUCGUGCUUCUCUGUCUCUGUUUAUACGUGAAAAGAAGACUAAUCAGUCACAAACAUGGAAGAAGCAGCCACUUUGGAUCGAAGAUGACAUGUGA